GAUGAACGCUGGCGGCGUGCCUAAUACAUGCAAGUCGAGCGAACAGACGAGGAGCUUGCUCCUCUGACGUUAGCGGCGGACGGGUGAGUAACACGUGGAAAACCUACCUAUAAGACUGGGAUAACUUCGGGAAACCGGAGCUAAUACCGGAUAAUAUAUUGAACCGCAUGGUUCAAUAGUGAAAGACGGUUUUGCUGUCACUUAUAGAUGGAUCCGCGCCGCAUUAGCUAGUUGGUAAGGUAACGGCUUACCAAGGCAACGAUGCGUAGCCGACCUGAGAGGGUGAUCGGCCACACUGGAGCUGAGACACGGUCCAGACUCCUACGGGAGGCAGCAGUAGGGAAUCUUCCGCAAUGGGCGAAAGCCUGACGGAGCAACGCCGCGUGAGUGAUGAAGGUCUUCGGAUCGUAAAACUCUGUUAUUAGGGAAGAACAAAUGUGUAAGUAACUAUGCACGUCUUGACGGUACCUAAUCAGAAAGCCACGGCUAACUACGUG
rnacentral:rRNA from 1 species